rnacentral:rRNA from 1 species
UACGUAGGGUGCAAGCGUUAAUCGGAAUUACUGGGCGUAAAGCGUGCGCAGGCGGUUCGCCAAGUCAGGUGUGAAAUCCCCGGGCUUAACCUGGGAAUUGCGCUUGAAACUAGCGGGGCUUGAGUGUGGCAGAGGGGGGGUGGAAUUCCACGUGUAGCAGUGAAAUGCGUAGAGAUGUGGAGGAACACCGAUGGCGAAGGCAGCCCCCUGGGUCAACACUGACGCUCAUGCACGAAAGCGUGGGGAGCAAACAGGAUUGAUGACGUACCCGGU